rnacentral:lncRNA from 1 species
GCGAGAGUAAGAACUACACAAGGAGUUAGAGUACCUUAGCAAAACUUUGCUAUCAGGUGGGCAAUUCCUUACGCGUAAAUAAAAUGCUAUGCAAAUGUUAUGCUUUAAAAUGCAAAUUGGAUCUUCAAGUAUGGUAUGCUUUAUAUGCUUCACUUAGUUAAGCGCUUUAAGUAUGCUGUUAUCUAUUUACGCCUAUUGAUUUACGCUUGAUUACAUUUAUUUACGCUUGAAUGCUUUACGCUGAUAAGUUUAUGCUUAUGUUUGAUGCUUGCGUCUGUUGGGGGAGGCCUCCCUCAACAGUACGAUGCCGUGUCCGUUGAGGAGGGCCUUCCUCACGGCGCGAUGCCCGUGUCCGCUGAGAGAGGCCUCUCUCGCGGCGCGAUGCCAGUAUGCCAGUAUGCCAGUGUUACAGCGUCUAUUGGGGGAGGCCUCCCUCAAUAGUACGAUGCCGUGACCGCUGAGGGAGGUCUCCUCUCACGGUGCGAUGCCCGUGUUCGUUGGGGAAGGCCUUCUCCACGACACGAUGCGUGUUUAUGAUUGUUAAUGAUGAAGAAUGCGCUCAUGCUGUUUAUGAAUUUGGAAAUGUUUAAUGAGCAAAGGAUUUGAAAGAAACUUAUGCCUCUUAUGCGAUGUUGUGAAAUUGUUAAUGAUGUUAUGUUAUAUGCUUGGCAACUGCCCACUAAGUACUCUUGUACUUAGCCCUUCGAUGUUUAUGUUUGUGCAGGUUGAGCUGUGAUGGGCGAUGAAGUGUUGUUGCUGAGUGGAGUUUUUGUUGAACUUAAAGUAGGCUCAGAAAGGAUACAUGUCUUCAUACAUGUAUCUCAGUUAUGCAUUCCGCUGUAAACACUGAUUAUUUCAGUUACACCUUCCGUUGCAAACUCUGAUAAUGUUUUAGCCAAG